CUGAUGGAGCUUAUGUUCGAGCUCUGGUUCAGGUCGGCAGAGCUACUGAAGCUGGGGGCCGUUAGUAGCAUCGUCACAGCUGGCCGUGGAGCACCUACCGCUGGAGCUGCUGCUGCUGUGGACACUUUGGCUUUACUGUCGUGACUUGACUAUUUUUUAGUGCGGUUGUUAGUGAUGAUUCUGGUGGAGCGGCUCAGUCGGCCAGUGACCUGGACAGUAGUUGUGUAUCGCAAGCAACGACCUGACUCAAGCAACAAACAAGAACGAACGCAAGUGUUACAGAAAACACGGCAGUAGUUGGAGGAACGCCCACUGAUUGAGCAAUGUAACCUCUUACGAUACCAUGAAGGCUGGCUUGUCGGUGUAGCAUCCCGGCCUGUACACUCUGACGGAGGCGGUGAAGGCACGCACAGACGGCACCCGCACCGACACCUGCUCCGCCCUCUCGUACCUGCACACGUUGGGUCUGUGAGGGGAGAGGAGGAAGGGUGUGCGUCAAGGAUAAGAGGACAUCAAAAAGGAAAGGUGGAACCGACGCACAUAAACUACCUCCUUCAUCACACCCUAAACUGUCCCUCGUCUCUUAUCGGGUCUCGUUUGCAUCGCCCACUUCACAACCGCCCCGAGAGAGGCAAUACCUGAUGCCCCUCACUCUGCUGCAUGAGUGGCUGGUAAUCGACCGUUAGGUUCGUCGGGCUGAGCGGGAAGGGGCUUGGAGAUAUCAUCACUACUGCCAUCAACACCAGUCACCUCCAUCUAUCAACACCCCCACCACCAGCCCAGUAGGAUUAUCUCCCUGCUCUCAACACCAGUCAACACCGUUUACCGUUGAUGAGGUUUCAGGCCCCGCUGUACUGUCAGCGCAGCGCUCCGCAGGGCCGUCAGUAAUAAUGAUGUUAGCCUCUAAUAAUCCUCGAUAUGCACCUAUUCACAACGUCGUAGUGAGUGAGUGAGUCUUAAUUGCUUUCAUGGAUAACUUACUGAUGUCCCUUUAAUAAACAUGGCAUCAUUAUAGCCACUUGGCCAUGUUUUGGUUCGUGCUAAUUACAAUAUCUUUCCUUUUUAUAGUAUCACAAAUAUCCAUUGUUUCCUUUUCCAUUUAUCUGAUAUUUUCUUUAUAUUAUCACAAUUCAAUGUCCAACG